UUUCUAGAACUUUGGAAGUUGCUUACAAUGUUCUUCCUGUUUACUCAGAAAAGUCUCUCAUCUUCUUGGCCUGGUGGCCAAAGACUGGUGUUAUCCUGAAACCUCUGCCCCCAAUGCCAUGGAGACCACAGGAUCCUGGGAUGACCGUCUAGAUUUCUACUUGGCUGACAGACAUCAUCUAGGGAUUACCUGUGGACUGCAAACUGCUGAGCUCUAGACUUGGUGAAAGCUGAUGUGAACCACUGCAGCCGAUACAAUUGUUCAUUUCUUCACCUGGAUCAGCUAAUCAGAUGCUUCUGUAAAUGCCCUAUUACCCAGCCUAUGACGAGCCCUUCACCCUUCCUGGGCCCUGACAAUGGUACCCUAGUUUCAGUUGAAAGUAGUUACAAAAGAGAGUACAUCAUCCCUUGCCCUGUAACAAGCUGAGAUGCUAAGUCAAAAGGAAACCCCCUGGAUAAGGGACAAAAUGUCUACUUAUAAUACCAAUUGACAUACCAGGAAUGUGGGCACAGAUUUGUCAACUUGGUAGAUUCAUGAACUGAAAUAGUUCUACAAUAUGAUAGGGCAUGUGGCCGGCUUUAUGCAGAACAAAGAGGCAUCAUAUGGCUUUAAGAGAAAAUUGUUAUUUCUGUACAAACCAUUCAGGAUUAUAAUCUGGCUGUACUAAAAAAAAGAUUACAAAAAGGGGACCUGAGAUAAAAUAAAUUCCUGGUGCCCCAUCAAUUUCCAGGCUCCUCCUAGAAAGUAACUCUGAUGUCAGUCAUCAUACAACCUUUAGCCUUCUGCUUCUGCUAUUUACUGUUGGCUCUUACAUCAUUGAUACAAUAAUUAAAUAAUUCCUCUCUGGUACCAUUAAGCUGAUGGUUAUAGAUACCAUAUAAAUAAGUACCCAUCAUAGAGUCAAGGAUUUGACCCAGGAUAUAACUCAAGGGGUAGGGGUGGGGGGAAUGUAAGACCCUGUUAACCUAUAAGCUCAACCCUCCCAAGGACCAAGUAACUUCCUGGAAUGCUGGGAGUUGUAGUUCUUGGAAAAUAACAAGGCCUCAUGGGAAGAAAAAGUGGCAGUAUGGGUUUGUUCUUAUGAGUCCUUGUAAAA